AGAGUUUUAUCCUGGCUCAGGAUGAACGCUGGCGGCGUGCUUAACACAUGCAAGUCGAACGAACCUUCGGGUUAGUGGCGGACGGGUGAGUAACGCGUGGGAACCUGCCCUCAGGAGGGGGAUAACGGCUGGAAACGGCCGCUAAUACCCCAUAUGCCGAGAGGUGAAAUGAAUUUCGCCUGAGGAUGGGCCCGCGUCUGAUUAGCUAGUUGGUGGGGUAAAAGCCUACCAAGGCGACGAUCAGUAGCUGGUCUGAGAGGAUGAUCAGCCACACUGGGACUGAGACACGGCCCAGACUCCUACGGGAGGCAGCAGUGGGGAAUUUUCCGCAAUGGGCGAAAGCCUGACGGAGCAACGCCGCGUGAGGGAUGAAGGCCUCUGGGCUGUAAACCUCUUUUCUCAGGGAAGAAGACCUGACGGUACUUGAGGAAUAAGCCACGGCUAAUUCCGUGCCAGCAGCCGCGGUAAUACGGGAGUGGCAAGCGUUAUCCGGAAUUAUUGGGCGUAAAGCGUCCGCAGGUGGCCCUGUAAGUCUGUCGUUAAAGCGUGGAGCUUAACUCCAUUUAAGCGAUGGAAACUACAGGGCUAGAGUGUGGUAGGGGCAGAGGGAAUUCCCGGUGUAGCGGUGAAAUGCGUAGAUAUCGGGAAGAACACCAGUGGCGAAGGCGCUCUGCUGGGCCAUCACUGACACUCAUGGACGAAAGCCAGGGGAGCGAAAGGGAUUAGAUACCCCUGUAGUCCUGGCCGUAAACGAUGAACACUAGGUGUCGGGGGAAUCGACCCCCUCGGUGUCGUAGCCAACGCGUUAAGUGUUCCGCCUGUGAGUACGCACGCAAGUGUGAAACUCAAAGGAAUUGACGGGGGCCCGCACAAGCGGUGGAGUAUGUGGUUUAAUUCGAUGCAACGCGAAGAACCUUACCAGGGUUUGACAUCCUGCGAAUCCCUUGGAAACGAGGGAGUGCCUUCGGGAGCGCAGAGACAGGUGGUGCAUGGCUGUCGUCAGCUCGUGUCGUGAGAUGUUGGGUUAAGUCCCGCAACGAGCGCAACCCACGUCGUUAGUUGCCAGCAUUCAGUUGGGCACUCUAGCGAGACCGCCGGUGAUAAACCGGAGGAAGGUGUGGAUGACGUCAAGUCAUCAUGCCCCUUACAUCCUGGGCUACACACGUACUACAAUGCUACGGACAAAGGGCAGCAAACUCGCGAGAGCUAGCAAAUCCCAUAAACCGUGGCUCAGUUCAGAUCGUAGGCUGCAACUCGCCUACGUGAAGGAGGAAUCGCUAGUAAUCGCAGGUCAGCAUACUGCGGUGAAUACGUUCCCGGGCCUUGUACACACCGCCCGUCACACCAUGGAAGUUGGCCACGCCCGAAGUCGUUACUCCAACCCUUGUGGAGGAGGACGCCGAAGGUGGGGCUGAUGACUGGGGUGAAGUCGUAACAAGGUA
rnacentral:rRNA from 1 species